UGGGGAAUAUUGGACAAUGGGCGCAAGCCUGAUCCAGCCAUGCCGCGUGAGUGAUGAAGGCCCUAGGGUUGUAAAGCUCUUUCACCGGUGAAGAUAAUGACGGUAACCGGAGAAGAAGCCCCGGCUAACUUCGUGCCAGCAGCCGCGGUAAUACGAAGGGGGCUAGCGUUGUUCGGAUUUACUGGGCGUAAAGCGCACGUAAGCGGACUUUUAAGUCAGGGGUGAAAUCCCGGGGCUCAACCCCGGAACUGCCUUUGAUACUGGAAGUCUUGAGUAUGGUAGAGGUGAGUGGAAUUCCGAGGGUAGAGGUGAAAUUCGUAGAUAUUCGGAGGAACACCAGUGGCGAAGGCGGCUCACUGGACCAUUACUGACGCUGAGGUGCGAAAGCGGGGGGAGCAAACAGG
rnacentral:rRNA from 1 species